UACGUAGGGCGCAAGCGUUAUCCGGAAUUAUUGGGCGUAAAGCGCUCGUAGGCGGUUUGUCGCGUCUGCCGUGAAAGUCCGGGGCUCAACUCCGGAUCUGCGGUGGGUACGGGCAGACUAGAGUGAUGUAGGGGAGACUGGAAUUCCUGGUGUAGCGGUGAAAUGCGUAGAGAUCGGGAGGAACACCCGUGGCGAAGGCGGCUCACUGGGCUGACCUUGACGCUGAGGCGCGAAGGCGUGGGGAGCGAACGGG
rnacentral:rRNA from 1 species